GACGAACGCUGGCGGCGCGCUUAACACAUGCAAGUCGAGCGAUGAAAUCUUGACAGAACCCUUCGGGGGGAAGAUAAGAUGGAUUAGCGGCGGACGGGUGAGUAACACGUGAGUAACCUGCCUUAGACAUUGGGAUAGCCUCGGGAAACCGGGAUUAAUACCAAAUGAAAUCACAUAUGCACAUGCAUAAAUGAUCAAAGCUCCGGCGGUCUAAGAUGGACUCGCGUCCCAUUAGCUAGUUGGUGAGGUAACGGCCCACCAAGGCGACGAUGGGUAGCCGGUCUGAGAGGGUGAACGGCCACAUUGGAACUGAGAAACGGUCCAAACUCCUACGGGAGGCAGCAGUGGGGAAUAUUGCACAAUGGAGGGAACUCUGAUGCAGCGACGCCGCGUGAACGAAGAAGGCUUUCGAGUCGUAAAGUUCUUUUAUAUGGGAAGAUAAUGACGGUACCAUAAGAAAAAGCCCCGGCUAACUACGUGCCAGCAGCCGCGGUAAUACGUAGGGGGCUAGCGUUGUCCGGAAUCACUGGGCGUAAAGGGUUCGCAGGCGGAUAUGCAAGUCAGGUGUAAAAGGCAGUAGCUUAACUACUGUAAGCAUUUGAAACUGCAUAUCUUGAGAAGAGUAGAGGUAAGUGGAAUUUUUAGUGUAGCGGUGAAAUGCGUAGAUAUUAAAAAGAAUACCGGUGGCGAAGGCGACUUACUGGGCUCAUUCUGACGCUGAGGAACGAAAGCGUGGGUAGCAAACAGG
rnacentral:rRNA from 1 species